UAAAUACUCCCUUCAUCCCAAAAUUCUUAUCUUAGAUUUGUCUAGUUACGGAUGUAUCUAACACUAAAACAUAACUAGAUAUAUCCGUAUGUAGACAAAUCUAAUACAAGAAUUUUGGGACGGAGGGAGUAUAUG
rnacentral:pre_miRNA from 1 species